AUACGUAGGGAGCGAGCGUUGUCCGGAAUUACUGGGUGUAAAGGGUGCGUAGGCGGGACUGCAAGUCGGAUGUGAAAUGCCGGGGCUCAACCCCGGAGCUGCAUUUGAAACUGUGGUUCUUGAGUGAGGUAGAGGUAAGCGGAAUUCCUAGUGUAGCGGUGAAAUGCGUAGAUAUUAGGAGGAACAUCGGUGGCGAAGGCGGCUUACUGGGCCUUUACUGACGCUGAGGCACGAAAGCGUGGGGAGCAAACAGGAUUAGAUACCCUGGUAGUCCACGCUGUAAACGAUGAUGACUAGGUGUGGGGGGACUGAACCCUUCCGUGCCGCAGUUAACACAAUAAGUCAUCCACCUGGGGAGUACGUUCGCAAGAAUGAAACUCAAAUGAAUUGACGGGG
rnacentral:rRNA from 1 species